UUCGUCCCCUUCGUGGGGCGGCCUAUGGGAUUCAGCCGACCUUCGGGCGGGCUUGCCGACUCCCUGCCAGACGGCGCCGGACGACCGCUCGCGACGAUGACUCGCGUUGCGGACCCGAUCCCGGCGACCGCUCGGCGGUGGACGAUGGCCCCGUUUCCGUGCGGCGCAUUUCCCCCCCAGUAGAAACGUCGCGACCCGUUGGGCUCCGCCGGUCUCAGGGCCCGGGGUGGCAGACCGCCACGUGGCAGCGACUUGUUCCCUGCUCGCGCGGACCCCCGGUGACCUGACCGGCGCCCGACGGUAGCACGGUGGAGGUGGUCCGCAGCAUGCUUGCGUCCGGGCCGGCGACGGCGCGCGCGCGCUCGGGGUUGUUGGUGCUCAGUCACCACCCCCGGCGCGUUUGUCGCGUCCUUAGCCGCGCUUUCCUCGGACAGGACCCUGCCUUCCGGUCGCGCGACCAAAAACCUUCGGUCGGUCUCCCG
rnacentral:rRNA from 1 species